UACGAAGGUCCCGAGCGUUAUCCGGAUUUAUUGGGUUUAAAGGGUGCGUAGGCGGAUUAUUAAGUCAGCGGUGAAAGCCUUCAGCUUAACUGAAGAAUUGCCAUUGAUACUGAUAAUCUUGAGUAUGAUUGAGGUGGGCGGAAUGUGUCAUGUAGCGGUGAAAUGCUUAGAUAUGACACAGAACACCGAUUGCGAAGGCAGCUCACUAAGCCAUAACUGACGCUGAUGCACGAAAGCGUGGGGAGCAA
rnacentral:rRNA from 1 species